UGCGCUUUCUCCAGCCCCAGCUUGGUGAAGAUACCCACGAGCACCAUGACAGCCACCACCCCGCAGAUGAUGUAGACGAUCAGUUUGGGCAGGAAACGCCUUGUGAGGAAUCCCUGUGUGCAGAGAGGAGCAGAAGUCGGGAGGCAGAACGGGAAAGGAGUGUGAUUUCGGAGAGAAGCAGAAACGCGGCCUCCCAGAACUGUCACUUUACUGGCAAAUGUACCCAUCAUCCAUCUGGGACAGAGCGAAAUCCAACCAAUCCAAGCUGAAGACCAGUGCUGGAUGGAGUCUUGUGUGUGCGGGGAGGAGCACAAACAGUUGGGAAGCAGGAUGGGAAAUGCGUGGGAUUUCAGAGAGAAGCAGAAAUGAGGCAAAAAGAGACACUGGAUGACACUGCUAGUGGUUUUCUUGUUCCUGAGUUUCUUGUUCCUGGUGUCUGUGUAACUCUCCUGAAUCUUCCAAUA